GGACUACAAGGGUAUCUAAUCCCGUUUGCUCCCCUAGCUUUCGCGCCUCAGCGUCAGAAGAGGUCCAGUGCGUCGCUUUCGCCUCCGGCGUUCCUUCCAAUAUCAACGCAUUUCACCGCUCCACUGGAAGUUCCACACACCCCUACCUCCCUCCAGACCGACAGUAUCGAAGGCACUUCUACAGUUAAGCUGCAGGAUUUCACCCCCGACUUGUCGGACCGCCUACGCGCCCUUUAAGCCCAGUGAUUCCGAACAACGUUAGGACAGUUCGUCUUACCGCGGCUGCUGGCAC
rnacentral:rRNA from 3 species